GUGGAUUAGAUACCCUGGUAGUCCACGCCCUAAACGAUGCGAACUGGAUGUUGGGUUCAAUUUGGAACUCAGUAUCGAAGCUAACGCGUUAAGUUCGCCGCCUGGGGAGUACGGUCGCAAGACUGAAACUCAAAGGAAUUGACGGGGGCCCGCACAAGCGGUGGAGUAUGUGGUUUAAUUCGAUGCAACGCGAAGAACCUUACCUGGUCUUGACAUGCACGGAACUUUCCAGAGAUGGAUUGGUGCCUUCGGGAACCGUGACACAGGUGCUGCACGGCUGUCGACAACU
rnacentral:rRNA from 1 species